rnacentral:misc_RNA from 1 species
UUGAUUGAUUUGUAUUCAAUACUCCGACGCAAAGACGCAGUGUUUGAUGGACCUCUGGGGGACUCCCGGCACGAGGUCCGGGUCGCCCCCCGAGGCAACAGAUAGUCAUCGACAAAGGGUUGGAGGUUGGGCACGGAGGCCCGCACUCGGUAAUGAUCCCUCCGCAGGUUCACCUACGGAGA